GACGGAGGAUGCAAGCGUUAUCCGGAAUGAUUGGGCGUAAAGCGUCCGCAGGUGGCAGUUCAAGUCUGCUGUCAAAGACCGGGGCUUAACUUCGGAAAGGCAGUGGAAACUGAACAGCUAGAGUAUGGUAGGGGCAGAGGGAAUUCCUGGUGUAGCGGUGAAAUGCGUAGAGAUCAGGAAGAACACGGUGGCGAAGGCGCUCUGCUGGACCAUAACUGACACUCAGGGACGAAAAGCUAGGGGAGCGAAUGGG
rnacentral:rRNA from 1 species